AAACCUGCUCAAUGAACAUAUUUAAUAGCCGCAAAAUUUUUAUGUGCUAAGGUAGCAUAAUCAUUUGUUUUUUAAUUAAAAACUAGAAUGAAAGGUUAUACAUUCAAAUUUCUUUAUUAAUUUUUAAUAAAUAAUUUAUAUUAAAUAUAAAAAUAUAUUUAUACUAAAAAAAGACGACAAGACCCUAUUAAAUUUUACUUAUAGUUUAGCUGGGGAAGCUUUUCAAUUAAAAUUUUUUAAAUUAAAAUAAACAAAAAUCUAAUAAAAUUAAAUUUUAAUAAAUUACUAUAGGGAUAACAGCAUUAUAUUUUUAAAAAGUUCAUAUUAAAAAAAAAUGAUUGUGACCUCGAUGUUGAAUUAUAUUUUCUAUAUUUAAUGCAAUAAUUAUAUAA
rnacentral:rRNA from 1 species